ACGAACAUAAGCAAUUGAAUUGCACUUGUUUAAAAAGGUUACAACACUUUUGUAAAACAAACAUGUCCCCUUGUAAUUGAAUACAGAUGAGGCAGUGUUUGUAGUAGAACUAGGAUUAGUCUCUUGUCUCCUAGUUUGUGUUGGUUUUGUUAUUGUACUUGUGUAAUGAUAGGACUCUUAAGUUACACUCUAUAUAUAGUCUCAUGUACAUCACAUAUAAUAUGUUGAAAAGGUUCUUCAUGGUAUCAGAGCCCUAAGAGGUUUAAACAACUGGAGAAAAAAACACAAUGUUCAAUUGCAACGACAAUGGCAGGCGACUCUAGUUCUACUACGUCUGGAACAUCAUCCACUACACAUAAUUCCUUUGUCCUUCUCCCAACCUUGCCAUCAACUGCCUGUUAAACUUACAUCCUUCAAUUUUUUUAUUGUGAGAGGUUGUCGUCUUAAUUAUCAUAUUGAAGGUGAUGAGGUAAUUCCAGAACGACUUCUGGGCAAUAAUGAACCCAACCCUGCCUAUAAUUCUUGGGGGAGAGAGGAUUAACUAGUCCUAAGUUGGAUCAUUGCUUCAAUCUCGGAAGGUAUAUUACCUUAACUAGUUGGUGCUGAAACUGCUCGAAAAGUGUGGACUAAACUUGUGACUGCUUAUGCUUUCGGUUUAAAGCCACAAAUUCGUGAUUUAAAAUCUCAGUUGCAUAAUUUACAGAUAGAAUGCAAGUAUUGAGUCAUAUAUAAUAAAGGCGAAGGGAAUUUCGGACAGGUUGGCUGCCUUGCAGCACCCGAUUUCCAAUGAUGAUUUGGUUGAAUUUGUUCUUGCUGGAUCAGGACCAACUUAUCGUCCUUUCACAUGAUCACUUGAAUCACAUCAAAAGGAAAUUUCUUUUGACACUUUAUAUGGAAUGUUGUUGAAUGAAGAACGACAAUUAAAACGAGAUGAAGCUCUUACUGUUAUUGCACUCACGACAUAGUUUACACAAAGUUCAUUCACUCCGCAUCGUGAUCGUGGGAGAGGAGGAAGAGUUAAUCGAGGUCGUGGACGCAAUCAAAAUCAAAGAUUCUCUCAGUCGACUCAAAAUCGUGCUUCCUACCAGCUCUAUAGUCCAAUACCUUCAGAUAUGUCACCAAUUGUUUGUCACUGUGAAGGUAAAGGGCACGUUACACGAAUAUGUUCCUCACCAAAAACUCCUAAUGGAACCAGAAUAUCUAGCCACCCUGCCUCACAUUUGGCCAACAUCGAAAGCUCACCUACAUGGAAUUGGUUGAUGGAUAGUGGUACAACGCAUCAUCUUACCUGUAAUCUUGAGAAUCUUGCUAUUCAUUCUGAAUAUCAAGGUUCCGAAAAAGUCACUCUAGGACUUGGAAACGAAGGGAAUACUACACACUAGCCCGAGUAUUGAUGGACUCUAUUCUUUUUCGGUUAAGAAAUUACUCUCACCAGCUUCCUUUCCUGCUUCUCUUGGUGUUUGGCACGCUCGUCUAGCGCAUACAUCAUAUCGGCUACUAUUUUCAGGUCUAGUAAAUCAUCUAGUUUAUGCACUGCAUGUGCUGCUAGUAAGAGUCGUAAAGUCCCGUUUAGCGAGUCUACUUUUAAGGCAUCUGGUCCUCUUGAUUUAAUAUGCUCAGAUGUUUGGGGCCCUGCUCCGGUUGUUUCUAAUGAUGGUUAUCGAUAUUAUGUCUGAUUUUUUGAUCUUUUUAGUAAAUACACUUGGAUUUACUUUCUUCGCUUCAAUUUUGAAGUUCUUUC